GACGAACGCUGGCGGCGUGCUUAACACAUGCAAGUCGAACGGGCCCGCCCCUGUUUUUGGGGGUGGGUUGAGUGGCGAACGGGUGAGUAUCACGUGAGUAACCUGCCCCCUGCUCCUGGAUAACUGCUUGAAAGGGCGGCUAAUACGGGGUGUGCCGGCUGGUCCGCAUGGGCCUGGUCGGGAUAGUUUCAUCUUCGGGUGUUUCGGUGGGGGAUGGGCUCGCGGCCUAUCAGCUUGUUGGUGGGGUGAUGGCCCACCAAGGCGGUGACGGGUAGCCGGCCUGGGAGGGUGGGCGGCCACACGGGGACUGAGACACGGCCCAGACUCCUGCGGGAGGCAGCAGUGGGGGGUAUUGCACAAUGGGCGGAAGCCUGAUGCAGCGACGUCGCGUGAGGGAUGGAGGCCUUCGGGUUGUGAACCUCUUUCUCCGGUGGUGAAGGCCCUGUCCGUUGCGGCGGGGUUGACGGUAGCCGGGUAUGAAGCGCCGGCUAACUACGUG
rnacentral:rRNA from 1 species